GGCGAAUUUUCUCUACCAGACAGCACUUCUCCAGUUCCAGAUCUAAAUUACAAAAAGCAUUAAUAACUAGCACAAUCAUCAUCAACAACACCAACCCUGAUUUCCUCCAACCAAAUAUCUACGGUCAAUUUACAGAAACUGAAGACAGAGCCACUGGUUUACUUAUAAAAUUCUCUCAUUGAUUUGGUGGAACUUCAUCAACAGGAGGAGCAGCGAAGCGAACAUUAGCAGGGCGAGCCACCACUACCGGCUCAUCAGCAAACAAUGCUUUGAUAACUGCUGGAGUUUUCAGGGGUCUACGACCAGUCAUUCGCGGAUAGACGUCUUCUAGGAAAUAAUAAGCAUGGCCUGCAAUCAUUCCCAGUAGAUCCACCCAA
rnacentral:misc_RNA from 1 species